UAGAGUUUGAUCCUGGCUCAGAUUGAACGCUGGCGGCAUGCCUUACACAUGCAAGUCGAACGGUAACGCGGGGCAACCUGGCGACGAGUGGCGAACGGGUGAGUAAAACAUCGGAACGUGCCCAAUAGUGGGGGAUAGCCCGGCGAAAGCCGGAUUAAUACCGCAUACGACCUAUGGGUGAAAGCGGGGGAUCGCAAGACCUCGCGCUAUUGGAGCGGCCGAUGUCGGAUUAGCUUGUUGGUGGGGUAAAGGCCUACCAAGGCUACGAUCCGUAGCUGGUCUGAGGGGACGACCAGCCACACUGGGACUGAGACACGGCCCAGACUCCUACGGGAGGCAGCAGUGGGGAAUUUUGGACAAUGGGCGCAAGCCUGAUCCAGCCAUGCCGCGUGCGGGAAGAAGGCCUUCGGGUUGUAAACCGCUUUUGUCAGGGAAGAAACGGUUUGGGUUAAUAACCCGAACUAAUGACGGUACCUGAAGAAUAAGCACCGGCUAACUACGUGCCAGCAGCCGCGGUAAUACGUAGGGUGCAAGCGUUAAUCGGAAUUACUGGGCGUAAAGCGUGCGCAGGCGGCUUUGCAAGACAGAUGUGAAAUCCCCGGGCUCAACCUGGGAACUGCAUUUGUGACUGCAUCGCUGGAGUGCGGCAGAGGGGGAUGGAAUUCCGCGUGUAGCAGUGAAAUGCGUAGAUAUGCGGAGGAACACCGAUGGCGAAGGCAAUCCCCUGGGCCUGCACUGACGCUCAUGCACGAAAGCGUGGGGAGCAAACAGGAUUAGAUACCCUGGUAGUCCACGCCCUAAACGAUGUCAACUGGUUGUUGGACGGCUUGCUGUUCAGUAACGAAGCUAACGCGUGAAGUUGACCGCCUGGGGAGUACGGCCGCAAGGUUGAAACUUAAAGGAAUUGACGGA
rnacentral:rRNA from 1 species